CACAGGGAGGUAGUGACAGUAAAUAACAAUGCAGGACCCUUUGGGUCUUGCAAUUGGAAUGAGAACAAUUUAAAUCCCUUAUCGAGUAACAAUUGGAGGGCAAGUCUGGUGCCAGCAGCCGCGGUAAUUCCAGCUCCAAUAGCGUAUAUUAAAGUUGUUGCAGUUAAAAAGCUCGUAGUUGAACCUUGGGCAAGGCUUAGGGUCGGUCGCAAGACCGCACUUGAGUGCCGCGCCUCUGUUGGGGGACUAGUCGCACUGCGGCUAGGCAACCCGUGUUACUGUGAAGAAAUUAGAGUGUUUAAAGCAGGCGAUCGCUUGAAUACAUCAGCAUGGAAUAACAAGAUAGGACUGGGGUCUGCUCUUGUUGGUUUGGGGGCCAAAGUAAUGAUUAAUAGGGCCAGUUGGGGGCAUUAGUAUUCAGUAGUCAGAGGUGAAAUUCUUGGAUUUACCGAAGACUAACUAGUGCGAAAGCAUUUGCCAAGGAUGUUUUCAUUAAUCAAGAACGAAAGUUAGGGGAUCGAAGACGAUCAGAUACCGUCGUAGUCUUAACUAUAAACGAUGCCGACUAAGGAUCGGCAGAAGUCGUUUGCGACUCUGUCGGCACUUUGUGAGAAAUCAAAGUUUUUGGGUUCUGGGGGGAGUAUGGUCGCAAGGCUGAAACUUAAAGGAAUUGACGGAAGGGCACCACCAGGAGUGGAGCCUGCGGCUUAAUUUGACUCAACACGGGAAAACUCACCAGGUCCGGACAUAGUAAGGAUUGACAGAUUGAGAGCUCUUUCUUGAUUCUGUGGGUGGUGGUGCAUGGCCGUUCUUAGUUGGUGGAGUGAUUUGUCUGGUUAAUUCCGAUAACGAACGAGACCUUAACCUGCUAACUAGUUGCGGGUACGCGAGUAUCCGAGACUUCUUAGAGGGACUGACUAUGUUUAAUAGUCGGAAGUUUGAGGCAAUAACAGGUCUGUGAUGCCCUUAGAUGUUCUGGGCUGCACGCGCGCUACACUGACAAAGGCAGCGAGUAUAACCUUGGCCGAGAGGCCUGGGAAAUCUUGUGAAACUUUGUCGUGCUGGGGAUAGAUCAUUGCAAUUAUUGGUCUUGAACGAGGAAUUCCUAGUAAGCGCAUGUCAUCAGCAUGCGUUGAUUACGUCCCUGCCCUUUGUACACUCCGCCCGUCGCUACUACCGAUU
rnacentral:rRNA from 1 species